GGUGCUGUGGCUCAAGUGGUAGAGCGCUCGCCUUGAUGCCUAAGGCCCUGGGUUCAAUUCCUCAGCACCA
rnacentral:tRNA from 1 species